rnacentral:rRNA from 1 species
AUUGAACGCUGGCGGCAGGCCUAACACAUGCAAGUCGAACGAGUGGCGGACGGGUGAGUAAUGUCUGGGAAACUGCCUGAUGGAGGGGGCUAACUACUGGAAACGGUAGCUAAUACCGCAUACCAUCGGAUGUGCCCAGAUGGGAUUAGCUAGUAGGUGGGGUAAAGGCUCACAUAGGCGACGAUCCCUAGCUGGUCUGAGAGGAUGACCGGCCAGACUGGAGCGGAGGAACGGUCCAGACUCCGACGGGAGGCAGCAGUGGGGAAUAGUGCACAAUGGGGGCAAGCCGGAUGCAGCCAUGCCGCGUGUAUGAAGAAGGCCUGCGGGUUGGAAAGUACUUUAAGCGGGGAGGCGUUACCCGCAGAAGAAGCACCGGCUAACUCCGUGCCAGCAGCCGCGGUAAUAC